rnacentral:rRNA from 1 species
UAAGCGGGAAGCACGCUUCAAGACGAGGUCUCUCAGGGACGUUCGAGAAUAGGACGUAGAUAGGCCGGAGGUGUAAGUGCAGUAAUGUAUUGAGCCGACCGGUACUAAUAACCCGAGUCCUUUACCUAA